AGUGGCUCGAGGACGAACGCUGGCGGCGUGCCUAAUACAUGCAAGUCGAGCGAAUCUUGGGAGCUUGCUCCCGAAGGUUAGCGGCGGACGGGUGAGUAACACGUGGGCAACCUACCUAUAAGACUGGGAUAACUUCGGGAAACCGGAGCUAAUACCGGAUAAUUCUUUUCUACACAUGUAGAAAAGCUAAAAGACGGUUUACGCUGUCACUUAUAGAUGGGCCCGCGGCGCAUUAGCUAGUUGGUGAGGUAACGGCUCACCAAGGCCACGAUGCGUAGCCGACCUGAGAGGGUGAUCGGCCACACUGGGACUGAGACACGGCCCAGACUCCUACGGGAGGCAGCAGUAGGGAAUCUUCCGCAAUGGACGAAAGUCUGACGGAGCAACGCCCGCGCGAGUGAUGAAGGUUUUCGGAUCGUAAAACUCUGUUGUUAGGGAAGAACAAGUACGAGAGUAACUACUCGUACCUUGACGGUACCUAACCAGAAAGCCACGGCUAACUACGUGCCAGCCGCUGC
rnacentral:rRNA from 1 species